GGAUGAAGGGAGCUUGCUCCUGGAUUCAGCGGCGGACGGGUGAGUAAUGCCUAGGAAUCUGCCUGGUAGUGGGGGAUAACGUCCGGAAACGGGCGCUAAUACCGCAUACGUCCUGAGGGAGAAAGUGGGGGAUCUUCGGACCUCACGCUAUCAGAUGAGCCUAGGUCGGAUUAGCUAGUUGGUGGGGUAAAGGCCUACCAAGGCGACGAUCCGUAACUGGUCUGAGAGGAUGAUCAGUCACACUGGAACUGAGACACGGUCCAGACUCCUACGGGAGGCAGCAGUGGGGAAUAUUGGACAAUGGGCGAAAGCCUGAUCCAGCCAUGCCGCGUGUGUGAAGAAGGUCUUCGGAUUGUAAAGCACUUUAAGUUGGGAGGAAGGGCAGUAAGUUAAUACCUUGCUGUUUUGACGUUACCAACAGAAUAAGCACCGGCUAACUUCGUGCCAGCAGCCGCGGUAAUACGAAGGGUGCAAGCGUUAAUCGGAAUUACUGGGCGUAAAGCGCGCGUAGGUGGUUCAGCAAGUUGGAUGUGAAAUCCCCGGGCUCAACCUGGGAACUGCAUCCAAAACUACUGAGCUAGAGUACGGUAGAGGGUGGUGGAAUUUCCUGUGUAGCGGUGAAAUGCGUAGAUAUAGGAAGGAACACCAGUGGCGAAGGCGACCACCUGGACUGAUACUGACACUGAGGUGCGAAAGCGUGGGGA
rnacentral:rRNA from 1 species